UCCAGAAAAGUGAGCAGCACAUGAGUGUGGAACACUCUCCUAUUAGUAAACCUUCUUAUGAGCAGAUUGUGAGUGCAUGCAAGGUCACUCCUGUGCAUGGAACAAAUGUAUCAACACCAAGGGGAAAAGGGUAGCUGGGGAAACUGGGAGAUUGCAAUUAAUACAUAUACACUAUUGACAAAGAAAGUGGAAAAAAAAAAAAGGUCUCACGAAUUCCGCUC
rnacentral:sRNA from 1 species